AGUAAAAGUCGUAACAAGGUUUCCGUAGGUGAACCUGCGGAAGGAUCAUUAUCGAGUUUUGAAACGGGUUGUAGCUGGCCUUUCACGAGGCAUGUGCACGCCUGGCUCAUCCACUCUUCAACCUCUGUGCACUUAUUGUAGGUCGGUGAAAGGCUUUUGUGUCUCACGAUGCUUAAGCUGGAAGCCUUCCUAUGUUUUAUUACAAACGCUUCAGUUAUAGAAUGUCUUUUUUGCGUGUAACGCAUUAUAUACAACUUUCAGCAACGGAUCUCUUGGCUCUCGCAUCGAUGAAGAACGCAGCGAAAUGCGAUAAGUAAUGUGAAUUGCAGAAUUCAGUGAAUCAUCGAAUCUUUGAACGCACCUUGCGCUCUCUGGUAUUCCGGAGAGCAUGCCUGUUUGAGUAUCAUGGUAUUCUCAACCUUCAAUACUUUUUUGUAUCGAAGGCUUGGACUUGGAGGUUGUGCUGGCCCUUGUUGGUCGGCUCCUCUGAAAUGUAUUAGCGUGAACGUUACGGAUCGCUUCAGUGUGAUAAUUAUCUGCGCUGUAGUCGUGAAGUAUAUGAAGUUUGCGCUUCUAAUCGUCCUUCACGGGACAAUUUACUUAUGACAUCUGAUCUCAAAUCAGGCAGGACUACCCG
rnacentral:rRNA from 1 species